GCGGGUGUAGUUUAGUGGUAAAACCUCAGCCUUCCAAGCUGAUGAUGGGGGUUCGAUUCCCCCCACCCGCUCCA
rnacentral:tRNA from 10 species